UACGUAGGGUGCGAGCGUUGUCCGGAAUUAUUGGGCGUAAAGAGCUCGUAGGCGGUGUGUCGCGUCGGUCGUGAAAACUUGGGGCUUAACCCUGAGCUUGCGGUCGAUACGGGCAUCACUGGAGUUCGGCAGGGGAGACUGGAAUUCCUGGUGUAGCGGUGAAAUGCGUAGAUAUCUGGAGGAACACCGGUGGCGAAGGCGGCAUCCUGGACCGAGAUUGACGCUGAGGCGCGAAAGCCAGGGGAGCAAACGGG
rnacentral:rRNA from 1 species